ACGCUCGACACCUACGGGGCAGCAGUGAGGAAUAUUGGUCAAUGGGCGCUAGCCUGAACCAGCCAAGUAGCGUGAAGGAUGAAGGCUCUAUGGGUCGUAAACUUCUUUUAUAUAAGAAUAAAGUGCAGUAUGUAUACUGUUUUGUAUGUAUUAUAUGAAUAAGGAUCGGCUAACUCCGUGCCAACAGCCGCGGUAAUCUGAGCGGGCUGGCAAGGC
rnacentral:rRNA from 1 species